UGGGGAAUAUUGCACAAUGGGCGCAAGCCUGAUGCAGCCAUGCCGCGUGUAUGAAGAAGGCCUUCGGGUUGUAAAGUACUUUCAGUCGGGAGGAAGGUGUCAAGGUUAAUAACCUUGGCAAUUGACGUUACCGACAGAAGAAGCACCGGCUAACUCCGUGCCAGCAGCCGCGGUAAUACGGAGGGUGCAAGCGUUAAUCGGAAUUACUGGGCGUAAAGCGCACGCAGGCGGUUGAUUGAGUCAGAUGUGAAAUCCCCGGGCUUAACCCGGGAAUUGCAUCUGAUACUGGUCAGCUAGAGUCUUGUAGAGGGGGGUAGAAUUCCAUGUGUAGCGGUGAAAUGCGUAGAGAUGCGGAGGAAUACCGGUGGCGAAGGCGGCCCCCUGGACAAAGACUGACGCUCAGGUGCGAAAGCGUGGGGAGCAAACAGG
rnacentral:rRNA from 1 species